AUUGAACGCUGGCGGCAGGCCUAACACAUGCAAGUCGAGCGAGCGGCGGACGGGUGAGUAAUGUCUGGGAAACUGCCUGUUGGAGGGGGGUAUCUACUGGAAAAGGUAGCUAAUACAGCAUAUCAUCUGGUGUGUCCCGAUGGGAUUAGCUAGAAGGUGGGGUAAAGGCUCACCGAGGCGACGAUCCCUAGCUGGUCUGAGAGGAUGACCAGCCACACUGGAACUGAGACACGGUCCAGAAUCCUACGGGAGGCAGCAGUGGGGAAUAUUGCACAAUGGGCGCAAGCCUGAUGCAGCCAUGCCGCGUGUGUGAAGAAGGCCUUCGGGUUGUAAAGCACUUUCAGCGGGGAGGCGUUACCCGCAGAAGAAGCACCGGCUAACUCCGUGCCAGCAGCCGCGGUAAUUC
rnacentral:rRNA from 1 species